rnacentral:lncRNA from 1 species
CUGUGUUCUGUCCCUCCGUAUGAUGUCUUGACCCUCUGCUGUGCAGGAAACCAAUAAAAAAAUUGUUUGUACCACUAUUUUACUCCCUUUGUUUUAUACUUCCAAAGAAGAGAUAGGCCUGGCUGGUAUUGAUUUUCAGUAAUGACUCAUCACUUUAACGCAUCCCGGCGCAUGACUCACCGAAGCUUCCGAGUCCAACUUUCCUCAAUGUUGUUGUCCGCAAUUUCCAGGGACGGAGAGAAAAAAAAAUGUGUGUGUUUUUUAAAUGACCCUGUCACCACCACAGAGCCGGUUGUAAGUUUACCAUAUUUUUCUCUGGAAUGUUCCUUUCUCCUUUUUAAAUUUCGAAUACGAGAUUUCCUUUAACGUUUAAACAUAGACUAGGUCCCCUUUGUCAUACGUGUCCUAAUAAAGCAGGAUCGGUGCACAUCAGUGAUGUCAUCAUCACCGAACGUCAGUUUAAUUACCUGAUUUGGCUCACAGUAACCAAGCUGUUUAAAAACAUUGACCCACUUGCACAGAUGGAGAAUUCAGAAUGUUGCCUUUCAGGACAGAGAAGUGCACCUUUUCAAGGCACCAGAGGAGAGCGCCGUGGAGAAGGCCAGGAACACAGGAGGCACGGGAAGCGGUUGUUCCUGCACUCUGUCACCUGAACACGGAAGAGAAGCAGAUUUACCAGGAGAACCUGCACCAUGUCCUUCAGUCCUUCCGCAAACCCGCCGCACGUCGUCUUCUUGGUGUAUCUCCUCGGUUAGCAGCCGUUCCACAAAGAGCAACGCGGCCGCAGAGAAGGAAAGGGCCUCUGGUGAAACAAGCUUCACGUGUACCAAGAAUGGUCACAUGGGGGGGGGGGGGGAGACAUUGA